GAGAGAGAGGGGGGGUUGAGUGAUUGAAUCCUUCUACAAUCACUUCAUUAAGCUUUUUCAAAAUGAUUUCUGAUUUGUUUUUUACUGUAAAAUGUUUCUAUUCUACUCUUGACAUCUCUCUAGUUACCAUACUAUCGUAUACAUACAACACCAUUUCUACCACAGUACAAAACAUUGCUACUGCUACUACUACUACUACUACUACACUAUUACAGUACUGAACAGCUCACAGUAAUACUUGUACUCCUCGCCACAGUAAACUCCAAACUCUUCUUACUCUCUUACAUCGCACCACCAUUUCUUCAUUUUCUCAUUGUAUUUCUAGAAAAUCUCAGUUUUAGAAUCGGAAACGUUGUGUCACCUGUCUUUUCUACGUUACAAACUGUCCAGUGAACCGACUGAGUGUGUCUCUGUGUAACACCGGGUUGUGUUUACAAUACGACCUGUGUAAAUUAACGCGUUUAUCAUGUGUGUGUUUUCAACCCUAAUUGAUUUGUUUCAUUACAUCAUUUUAAUGUGUGUAACACAUUUUCAGAUAUCUCUAUCUGGUUUAACUGAAACAACCAACUAAGUUUGGUUUCUUCACAGUGAAUGGCUGUCCCCCCUCAGAGCAUUUCCUCUCCGGCCGAUACAGCAUUGGUAGCCUCCCGGGCCGACAUUCGGCAUCCAUCAUUAGUCUUCUCAAUUCCACAUCUGGAGCAAGUACUGUAUGACAUGAAAGCCAUCAGAAAGCAGCAGAUAUGGUAAUCAAGAGGAUUAUGAUGACGAUGAUGAUAAUUGGUGGUGGUGGUGGUGGUGGUGGUGGUGAAGGUGGUGAUGGUGGUGAAGGUGGUAGAUUCACCAACGACUUCCAGUCAGUCCAUUUCUGCAUUCAAUUAUUUUUUACACAGAACGUCGUUAACUGCUGUGAUAGUUUAAACCACACUUGGACAUUUCUGCGUCUGUCCUUCAUCAACUGCAAGUUUUACUGACCACAACACUUCUUUCCUCCUGUUGCAGUUUUAAAGAAUCAUUUUUUAAAAAUCUUUUCUUUUUUUUUAAAUAUAUGGACAACAACAAACAAAUGGUCAAUUGUCCUGUAGAAUUGAUCUCUAAACUGUUCUCUAUCAUUUCUGUGAUAUGACCCAUGCUCUUCUCCUGGACAGCCACUGCUUUGCUGACCAAACAACAGACCAUCACUGACUUAACAACAUUCUUUAGAUCAUCAUUAACUAACAACACAUAACAACGCUGACUGAUCUAAAGACCUAACAACACCCACGGACACCUUUGAAUUUGUAUUUUACCCACAACUAAAACCCCAAACCACCCCCAAAACCAUUUAGAGAUGAACUCUGUACCCUUUUACUCAUGCCCAUGUAUAUUGCAGUGUUGUACAUCUGGGGUACAAUGUGUACAGAAGUGUUGCACUGCUGUGGUACUCUGCUUACCAAACUGUUGUACUCUUAAGAGUACACUGCUUACAGGAUAGCUUCUCUUUUGGACUACUCUGCUUCCAGUAGUAUUUCACAUCUGUGGUACAUUAAUUACAACAUCACUGCACCUCCCAGGGUACUCCACGACAUUUCUUUUGAUGUAUAUAACUUGUGUGGUACUCCAGACUUGGGUUUCUUUACCUGUCAGUGUAGUAAUACAACCUGUAGUAGAUAGGGUACCUGUGAUCUGUUACACACCUGUUCUACUAUUUCUAAACUAAAUACCCGGCAUAGAACUGCUGGACUUGUAGUGAUGUACCCCAACUGCAAGCUGUACUUGUCUAUGUACCCCAUCUGACAAAUAAAUGUACAUAUCUGUGCUACCCAUGAGAAAACAUUGACUAUGAAGAGGUACCACCGAUUUGUGUACCCAAAAUGAAUGAGGUACAGCUGUGUACCUUAACUAACAUAAAGUUAUUUAAUGAAACAAUAUAUAUAUAAUAAUUAAUAAUAAUGAUAAUUGCAAUAAAUGCUUUAGUGUUUUUAAUUGCCCCUCCCCCAUCUCAUACAGUUGAUCUUUUUCAUAAAAUUUUGUUUUAAAAUU